rnacentral:lncRNA from 1 species
AUGGGAACACACGGCAGCAGACAGCAGGGCUGGGACAUGAGCUGUGGGGUUCUUGCUGGCUGGGCCAUGACUGGCUGCUCUGUCCCCACCCUGCCUGGGAACCCAGCUUGGUGGCCAAAUGCAUCAAGCAACUCCACGAGCAGCUCAGUCAGGGUCUGCGUGCAGCUGCCUGGCCUGCACACAUCAGUCUGGGGAGAGAAGAAGUGCCGUUGUGCUCCUAUGUCCUACUGGAAGCAAACAUGUGGAGCUGAGUGCUGCAGCUCUGCUGUCCUGCUGUCACUUUGGCGUCCCCUGACUGGCUGCGUGGCUGGGCAGGCAUUCAGCGCCAAUAGCAGUGUGGGAGCUGGGAUGCAGCACCUGAAAGCUGGGAUGCAGCACCCGGGAGCUGUAAAAGCCUCUACAGUGCAGCCACUACAUCGGGCAUUUCCAAACCUUUCAGGAAGUCACUGCCACAUUAAAAACCCAAACUACGUAUGCGCUAUAGCAGAGCCGUGGGCGGGUGUUCCAGCACAUAGAUGUGUGCUUUAUGUAAGAAAGCUCCGCGGGCCCCUCAGCCCGCCGACUUUCCGGAGGAUGCGAGCCGGAGCCGUGCCCCCGCCGCUGCCGCUGCCCGCGGGUCAGGCCGCGGUGCGGGCCGGGCCGCCGCCUCCUCCCCGCGCUGCGCGCUCCCGGCGCUCCGCUCGCAGCUCCGCUCCCGAGAAGCCCCGCGGGACCGGGCCCCGCCCGCGGAGCAGCGCUCGGCUCGGGCGGAGCGUCCCGCACAGCUGGAUUUCUGCGAGUGCAGAUGUUGCUAAUGGCAGCUUAAGCACGGAUGGGCAGAGAGCAUAUGGGCUGCAGCGGUGCCAGAUGGGCCGUUUAGCCUCUCGACCCGACGGGUAUCAAUCACACGCGUCCUGGGGACGGCGGAGCGGCUCGGAGCGGGAGAGGAGCAGCUGGGGACCACCCCCACCCCUGACCCGGGUACCGGGCGACGCGAACGCACCGCGCUGCCGUGCUGCGAGGGCAGAGCCGGGCGUCAGCUCCAGCCACCCGUGUGCGGGCCGGGCCCCGACAGCCGCCAAGCAGGCAGCCGCUGGGUUCUUGUCCUGA